GUUUGAUCAUGGCUCAGAACGUACGCUGGCGGCACGCCUAACACAUGCAAGUCGAACGAAGUAGCAAUACUUAGUGGCAGACGGGUGAGUAACAUGUGGGUAUCUGCCCUUUGGCCUGGAAUAACACGAGGAAACUUGUGCUAAUACCGGAUAAGUCUUUACGGAGAAAGCUUUAUGCACCAUUGGAUGAGCCCGCACUUGAUUAGUUUGUUGGUGGGGUAAUGGCCUACCAAGACUGUGAUCAAUAGCUGAUUUGAGAGGAUGAUCAGCCACAUUGGGACUGAGACACGGCCCAAACUCCUACGGGAGGCAGCAGUGGGGAAUCUUGCACAAUGGAGGAAACUCUGAUGCAGCGAUGCCGCGUGAGUGAAGAAGGCCCUUGGGUUGUAAAGCUCUUUCGUCGGGGAAGAAAAUGACUGUACCCGAAUAAGAAGGUCCGGCUAACUUCGUGCCAGCAGCCGCGGUAAUACGAAGGGACCUAGCGUAGUUCGGAAUUACUGGGCUUAAAGAGUUCGUAGGUGGUUGAAAAAGUUGGUGGUGAAAUCCCAGAGCUUAACUCUGGAACUGCCAUCAAAACUUUUCAGCUAGAGUAUGAUAGAGGAAAGCAGAAUUUCUAGUGUAGAGGUGAAAUUCGUAGAUAUUAGAAAGAAUACCAAUUGCGAAGGCAGCUUUCUGGAUCAUUACUGACACUGAGGAACGAAAGCAUGGGUAGCGAAGAGGAUUAGAUACCCUCGUAGUCCAUGCCGUAAACGAUGUGUGUUAGACGUUGGAAAUUUAUUUUCAGUGUCGCAGGGAAACCGAUAAACACACCGCCUGGGGAGUACGACCGCAAGGUUAAAACUCAAAUGAAUUGACGGGGACCCGCACAAGUAGUGGAGCAUGUGGUUUAAUUCGAAGAUACGCGCAGAACCUUACCAACACUUGACAUGUUCGUCGCGACUCUAAGAGAUUAGAGUUUUCGGUUCGGCCGGACGAAACACAGGUGCUGCAUGGUUGUCGUCAGCUCGUGCCGUGAGGUGUCGGGUUAAGUCCCAUAACGAGCGCAACCCCUAUCUUUAGUUGCCAGCGAGUAAUGUCGGGGACUCUAAAGAAACUGCCCGCGUAAGCGUGGAGGAAGGUGGGGAUGACGUCAAAUCAUCACGGCCCUUACGGGUUGGGCUACACACGUGCUACAAUGGU
rnacentral:rRNA from 1 species